UACGGAGGAGGCAAGCGUUAUCCGGAAUUAUUGGGCGUAAAGCGUCCGUAGGUGGUGAUUCAAGUCAGCGGUUAAAGCGUGGGGCUUAACCUCAUACAGGCCGUUGAAACUGGAUUGCUAGAGUGCGGUAGGGGUCGAGGGAAUUCCCAGUGUAGCGGUGAAAUGCGUAGAUAUUGGGAAGAACACCGGUGGCGAAAGCGCUCGGCUGGGCCUGCACUGACACUGAGGGACGAAAGCUAGGGGAGCGAAAGGG
rnacentral:rRNA from 1 species